GAGUUUGAUCGUGGCUCAGAUUGAACGCUGGCGGCAGGCCUAACACAUGCAAGUCGAGCGGUAGAGAGAAGCUUGCUUCUCUUGAGAGGCGGCGGACGGGUGAGUAAUGCCUAGGAAUCUGCCUGGUAGGUGGGGGAUAACGCUCGGAAACGGACGCUAAUACCGCAUACGUCCUACGGGAGAAAGCGAGGGGACCUUCGGGCCUUGCGCUAUCAGAUGAGCCUAGGUCGGAUUAGCUAGUUGGUGAGGUAAUGGCUCACCAAGGCGACGAUCCGUAACUGGUCUGAGAGGAUGAUCAGUCACACUGGAACUGAGACACGGUCCAGACUCCUACGGGAGGCAGCAGUGGGGAAUAUUGGACAAGUGGGCGAAAGCCUGAUCCAGCCAUGCCGCGUGUGUGAAGAAGGUCUUCGGAUUGUAAAGCACUUUAAGUUGGGAGGAAGGGC
rnacentral:rRNA from 1 species